AGAAAUCGUUAAGGGCGUAUGGCGGAUGCCUAGGCUUUCAGAGGCGACGAAGGACGUGGUAAGCUGCGAAAAGCUCGGGGGAUUGGCACACACGAAUUGAUCCCGAGAUGUCCGAAUGGGGCAACCCGUCUGGUUGAAGACCAGUCACCCGCCGUAAGGCGGGAGCAAACCCGGAGAACUGAAACAUCUAAGUACCCGGAGGAAAAGAAAUCGAAGAGAUUCCGUAAGUAGUGGCGAGCGAAAGCGGAUUAGCCCAAAAGUCUUUAUAUGUUUAAUAGAAUGUUCUGGAAAGAACAGCCAAAGACGGUGAUAGCCCGGUAUAUGAAAGGCAUAUUUGGAUGAUAAAUGAGUAUGGCGGGACACGUGAAAUCCUGUCUGAAUAUGGGGGGACCAUCCUCCAAGGCUAAAUACUCCUGAAAGACCGAUAGUGAACAAGUACUGUGAAGGAAAGGUGAAAAGCACUUCGAAUAGAAGGGUGAAAUAGAACCUGAAACCGUACGCCUACAAGCGGUCGGAGCCCGCCAUUGGCGGGUGACGGCGUGCCUUUUGCAUAAUGAGCCUACGAGUUAAUUUUACUAGCGAGGUUAAGGACUUCAGGUCCGGAGCCGGAGCGAAAGCGAGUCUGAAUAGGGCGUAUAGUUAGUAGGAUUAGACGCGAAACCUUGUGAUCUACCCAUGGGCAGGUUGAAGCUUUGGUAACACAAAGUGGAGGACCGAACCGGUUGACGUUGAAA
rnacentral:rRNA from 2 species